AGAAAUAGACUAAAGAUUAAGAGGGCUAAAAGAUGGAUUAAAGAGCUUAAUUAGUCUUGGUUAAUUUUAAACUCUGCGAAAGUAAAAUUUGAUUAAUCAAAGCACUCUUUGUCUCAGUCGAAAGAGAUUUCAAAGGAUUUGAGCAUCGAUCUCCUUGAAACACAUAAUUUCCAUAUAAACGGCUAACUAAUCAAAAUACCAAAAUAGCAUAACUAUGAACCUUUAACUUCGGAAUUGCCUUUUUACAAUCGUUACUUGACAUUUUACUUCGAAAGCUUAGUUUAAUCCAUUUGCAUUAAUUUUCAUCAUUAAUCUCUUAAUUUCUUCAUUUAGCAAAUUAUUGAAUUAAUAUUUGCUUGAAUUGAG
rnacentral:misc_RNA from 1 species